AAGAAGCAGGCUCAUAGCGGAGGAGCCUGAUGUGGGGCUCGAUCCCAUAACGCCGGGAUCACGCCCUGAGCCGAAGGCAGACGCUUAACCGCUGUGCCACCCAGGCGCCCCCAAGUUGUAUAUAUUCUUGAAUGAAGAAGAUAUGGAAGAAAAAGUAUCGGAGAGCAGUGGAGAUAAUCCGGGUCACAAGGACUUUCUGUCAUUCCUCCCUGUACUAGUACACGUGUGAUUUUUUCAUAUUUAGAAAAGUUUAAAAGCACAGGCAUUAUUCAUGAUGCUGGCAUAACUCAAAAGCAAUGAUUGAGGUCCUUACAUCUUGGCACGAAGGAAUUGGACUUGAAUAAUACCUUGAAAGAGGAACUUGGAAGGGAUGAAAACCAACUAAAAGGCGGGGAUAGGAGUGAAAGAAUUGUCAAACUCAGAAGGCAUUUGUCAAGGUUUGUCAGUGUUUUAGUUCAUUUGGGCUGCUAUAACAAAGUAACACAGAUUGGGUAGCUUAUAAACAACAGAAAUUUAUUUUUCAGAGUUCUGGAGGCUGGAAAGUUUAAGAUCCAAGCACCAGCAUGGUCAUAUUUUGGUGAGAACCCCCUUCCUGAUUUAUAACCAGUGACUUCUUGCUAUGUUCUCACAUGGUGGAAGGGGCCAGGGAUCUCUCUGGAGCCUAUUAAUCCUAUUCAUGGGUUCUUCACCCUAAGGGUUUAAGCACCUCUGAAAGCCCCGCCUCCCAACCAUCUUUGGGGGUUAAGACUUCAACAUAUGAAUUUUGGGGGGACACAAAUAUUUACACCAUAGCCAUCAGGCUCUCAUGGGUCCAGAUUGGUCCCAAGUUAUCAGAAAGGGUUGGAUCUUUGUCGAUCAGGAAAUUAAUAGGGAGUGGGCAUGCAUGUAGUUGUGAUACCCAGGGUUGCUCCUUAUUUCUUAGAGCAAAUGUAUUUGUUGUGCAUCUGUCUUGAUAUGCAAGAUAUCACAACACUAAACUAAAAAAAAAUGAAAAAAUUCUGUGCCAGAGACCUGUCAAAGGUAGAGAAAAAUGCUUUCCCUUAAUACCACUGUUUUUUUUUUUUAAAGAUUUUAUUUUAUUUAUUCGACAGAGAUAGA